AAGUCGUAACAAGGUUUCCGUAGGUGAACCUGCGGAAGGAUCAUUACUAAAUCCAAUGAUAAUUCAAUAUGUUGAACCGUUGUCUGAUUGGUGCGCGGCGGGAAUUUCUCGCCGCCACAAUUGCACACACACCACAAUAAUGAUGUACGAAUGGACAGUGAUUUUAUUAUUAUUAUUUCAUAAAAAGCACAACUUUUAACAAUGGAUCUCUUGGCUCUU
rnacentral:misc_RNA from 1 species